rnacentral:rRNA from 1 species
GAUGAACGCUGGCGGCGUGCCUAAUACAUGCAAGUCGAGCGAACAGACGAGGAGCUUGCUCCUCUGACGUUAGCGGCGGACGGGUGAGUAACACGUGGAUAACCUACCUAUAAGACUGGGAUAACUUCGGGAAACCGGAGCUAAUACCGGAUAAUAUAUUGAACCGCAUGGUUCAAUAGUGAAAGACGGUGUUGCUGUCACUUAUAGAUGGAUCCGCGCCGCAUUAGCUCUUUGGUAAGGUAACGGCUUACAAAGGCAACGAUGAGUAGCAGACCUGAGAGGGUGAUCGGCCACACGGGAACUGAGGCACGGUCCAGACUCCUACGGGAGGCAGCAGUAGGGAAUCUUCCGCAACGGGCGAAAGCCUGACGGAGCAACGCCGCGUGAGUGAUGAAGGUCUUCGGAUCGUAAAACUCUGUUAUUAGGGAAGAACAAAUGUGUAAUUAACUAUGCACGUCUUGACGGUACCUUAUCAGAAAGCCACGGCUAACUACGUG